UGGGGGAUAUUGCACAAUGGGCGAAAGCCUGAUGCAGCGACGCCGCGUGGGGGAUGAAGGCCGUCGGGUUGUAAACUUCUUUUGCUCUGAACAAGGCAUGCUAAUGGGUGUGUUGAGUGUAGGGGUUGAUUAGCGCCGGCUAACUACGUGCCAGCAGCCGCGGUAAUACGUAGGGCGCGAGCGUUGUCCGGAAUUAUUGGGCGUAAAGGGCUUGUAGGUGGCUGGUUGCGUCUGUCGUGAAAGCUCAUGGCUUAACUGUGGGUUUGCGGUGGGUACGGGCUGGCUUGAGUGCAGUAGGGGAGGCUGGAAUUCCUGGUGUAGCGGUGGAAUGCGCAGAUAUCAGGAGGAAUACCGGUGGCGAAGGCGGGUCUCUGGGCUGUUACUGACACUGAGGAGCGUAAGCAUGGGGAGCGAACAGG
rnacentral:rRNA from 1 species